UACGUAGGGGCCGAGCGUUGUCCGGAGUUACUGGGCGUAAAGCGCGCGCAGGCGGCUCGCUUUGCCCGGCGUGAAAGCCCCCGGCUCAACCGGGGAGGGUCGUCGGGGACGGGCGGGCUUGAGGCCGGCAGGGGCAGGUGGAAUUCCUGGUGUAGCGGUGAAAUGCGCAGAUAUCAGGAGGAACACCCGUGGCGAAAGCGGCUCUCUGGGACGGUACUGACGCUGAGACGCGAAAGCGUGGGGAGCAAACAGG
rnacentral:rRNA from 1 species